rnacentral:rRNA from 1 species
AUUGAACGCUGGCGGCAGGCCUAACACAUGCAAGUCGAACGAGUGGCGGACGGGUGAGUAAUGUCUGGGAAACUGCCUGAUGGAGGGGGAUAACUACUGGAAACGGUAGCUAAUACCGCAUACCAUCGGAUGUGCCCAGAUGGGAGUAGCUAGUAGGUGGGGUAAAGGCUCACCUAGGCGACGAUCCCUAGCUGGUCUGAGAGGAUGACCAGCCACGCUGGAACUGAGGCACGGCCGAGACUCCUACGGGAGGCAGCAGUGGGGAAUAUUGCACAAUGGGCGCGAGCCUGAUGCAGCCAUGCCGCGUGUGUGAAGAAGGCCUUCAGGUUGUAAAGCACUUUCAGCGGGGAGGCGUUACCCGGAGAAGAAGCACCGGCUAACUCCGUGCCAGCAGCCGCGGUAAUUG